CAAAAACAUGAAUAUUUAUCUACGCUUGGAGUUUUCUCGUAGUGCUUGAAGAUAAAACAAACAAAUAAUAAUAUUCUUUACUUAUACGCAUAACUGCGGCAGUGUUGUUGUAGUUCACAUAUAUAGUGCAUGGCAAUUAUAAAUACUAUUACUGUCUAUAUAGAUGAAGGGGCUUUGGAGAUCAUCGAUGCGACGGAUUCGUAUUCCGAUUUUGAUGGCGGUGAACGUUUCGAACUUGACUGUUGUUUUUACUCCCACCCAUACUGUCCAACAAUUACCUGGUAUAAAGACGGCGUGGAGAUUAUAGAUGGCCGUACAAUACGGAAAAUAAAACAGGGACGGACACUCCAAGUUUAUGCUAGACCAGAUGCUGGAGGAAAUUACACGUGUACUGCGACCACGCCUUAUGGUGAAGUCGAAAGCCACACUAUCACAAAUGUCCAAAUUAUUAG